rnacentral:lncRNA from 1 species
GCAGUCAUCAACACAGAAGACUUCUGUGACCACAUGUGAGAAGUGUUUCUUUCCACUGCCAAGCAAGCAAUCAAGUCUGCGGUGGAUACCCACUGGGUGGCCUCCAAUUCAACUCCAACACUAUCUACCUGGAGAUAGCAUCAGAUCCCACAGGUUGAGGGCUCUGUCCCCAAGGCUGGCCCCCACCGCUGCUGGACACCAGCUGAUUAUAAAGUAUAUUACAGAUGAAGAGAUG